rnacentral:lncRNA from 1 species
CCCUUCCCUCUUAAACUUCCGACCUCAAAUCAUCAUAACCUUCAUCCAUUACCCUAUCUUCGCUUCAGCCCUCUCUAUUCCUCCUAAUUCCGAAUUACCCAAAUCAAGCCAGCCCAAAGCAGCUUCUGCCGGCUUCUUUUGGCCAAACCUAACACAGCAGACACCCAAACUAGCUAAAACUACACCCUGUUAAUUCACAAAUCAGCACCUGUACUCCACCAUUCCACCUCAACCAACAACGCCUCCGUCUACCCAUAUCAUCUCCGAAUCAAACACCAGCCUUCAACUCUGUACGCACCUUCAAACUCAAUCUCUCCGUCGCAAACAACCAGUCCCUUGAAAUCUGAAUUCGACCGCCCUAACCCCUCCUUUACAGUCCGACAUCCAAACAGCCAGGCCAUCACCACCCAUCGAGACCACCAUGGACCUAGCUACCCUGUGGCUGUACUCCACAGCCAACAACUACAAGCCCCGUCAAUCGGCGUUCAAUCACCACCGAAACCCGAGCCUCUGUUUCUUUCCUCCCUGGCCAGUCGCUGCCACACGUCUCCGCCUCUUGUCGGCGUCGCGGCGGCGAUGCUAGACAUCAUUUGCCGCCUGAACCUCUCCCUGUCUUCUUCUCUCCAGCCAUGACACCUCCGAUCGGCGGCGGCUCAACAAACAAAGCUCGCUCGAUCGCACAAAACAACGCCUACAACUAUGCAUAUAUAUACACCCAUCAACAAGCAAUUAUUCGAUUAACAUAUAUAAUCGAUCCUCCCUUCCUCUCAAAAUCUCUUGCACCCCAAACCCUAAUUUCUAGCCGCCCCCUUUUCUACUCUGUUUUGUUUUUUUUUAAACCUCCCUGUACUCUAUUUCCUUUUUAUCCUAAUCUGUUUAGCCACGUACAGCCUAUGCACCUGCUGCGUAAACAACUGACUCAUAAAACUAAAUGAUUCUUACAAAACUAUUUAUAUAUUAAAAAUCAACACCCAAAUUAUAAUUAAAAGCCAUAAAUAAAUAUGAAUAUAGGGGUCUCAAAAUAUUUCUCAAAUCUAAAAAUAAACUAUUUCAAAAACUCAAGAUAUCCCGAAUACGCAAUAUUUGCAAAUAAUAAUAUUUUUAAAAUCAUUUUCAGAACA